rnacentral:rRNA from 1 species
AGUGAACGCUGGCGGUAGGCCUAACACAUGCAAGUCGAACGGCAGCACAGUAAGAGCUUGCUCUUACGGGUGGCGAGUGGCGGACGGGUGAGGAAUACAUCGGAAUCUACUUUUUCGUGGGGGAUAACGUAGGGAAACUUACGCUAAUACCGCAUACGACCUACGGGUGAAAGCAGGGGAUCUUCGGACCUUGCGCGAUUGAAUGAGCCGAUGUCGGAUUAGCUAGUUGGCGGGGUAAAGGCCCACCAAGGCGACGAUCCGUAGCUGGUCUGAGAGGAUGAGCAGCCACACUGGAACUGAGACACGGUCCAGACUCCUACGGGAGGCAGCAGUGGGGAAUAUUGGACAAUAGGCGCAAGCCUGAUCCAGCCAUACCGCGUGGGUGAAGAAGGCCGUCGGGUUGUAAAGCCCUUUUGUUGGGAAAGAAAAGCAGCAGGUUAAUACCCCGCUGUUCUGACGGUACCCAAAGAAUAAGCACCGGCUAACUUCGUGC